rnacentral:rRNA from 1 species
GUAGGUGGCAAGCGUUGUCCGGAAUUAUUGGGGCGUAAAGCGCGCGCAGGCGGUUCGUUUAAGUCUGAUGUGAAAGCCCACGGCUCAACCGUGGGAGGGGUCAUUGGAAACUGGAGAACUUGAGUACAGAAGAGGAAAGCGGAAUUCCACGUGUAGCGGUGAAAUGCGUAGAGAUGUGGAGGAACACCAGUGGCGAAGGCGGCUUUCUGGUCUGUAACUGACGCUGAGGCGCGAAAGCGUGGGGAGCAAACAGGAUUAGAUACCCUGGUAGUCCACCGCCGUAAACGAUGAGUGCUAAGUGUUAGGGGGUUUCCGCCCCUUAGUGCUGCAGCUAACGCAUUAAGCACUCCGCCUGGGGAGUACGGCCGCAAGGCUG